GACGAACGCUGGCGGCGUGCCUAAUACAUGCAAGUCGAGCGGACUUUCAAGAAGCUUGCUUUUUGAAAGUUAGCGGCGGACGGGUGAGUAACACGUGGGCAACCUGCCUGUAAGACGGGGAUAACUCCGGGAAACCGGGGCUAAUACCGGAUAAUAUCUUUCUUCGCAUGAAGGAAGGUUGAAAGGCGGCGCAAGCUGCCGCUUGCAGAUGGGCCCGCGGCGCAUUAGCUAGUUGGUGAGGUAACGGCUCACCAAGGCGACGAUGCGUAGCCGACCUGAGAGGGUGAUCGGCCACACUGGGACUAAGACACGGCCCAGACUCCUACGGGAGGCAGCAGUAGGGAAUCUUCCGCAAUGGACGAAAGUCUGACGGAGCAACGCCGCGUGAGCGAAGAAGGUCUUCGGAUCGUAAAGCUCUGUUGUCAGGGAAGAACAAGUACCGUUCGAAUAGGGCGGUACCUUGACGGUACCUGACCAGAAAGCCACGGCUAACUACGUGCCAGCAGCCGCAGUAA
rnacentral:rRNA from 1 species